CCUACGGGCGGCAGCAGUAGGGAAUUUUGCGCAAUGGGGGAAACCCUGACGCAGCAACGCCGCGUGAUCGAUGAAGCCCUUCGGGGUGGAAAGAUCUGUCAGUGGGGACGAAACCUGGCGGUACCCACAGAGGAAGCACCGGCUAAAUCCGGGCCAGCAGCCGCGGUAAUACGGGGGGUGCAGGCGUUGUCCGGAAUCAUUGGGCGUAAGGGGUUCGUAGGUGGCACGUUAAGUCUGGUGUUAAAGACGGAAGGUCAACUUCCGUAGGGCACUGGAAACUGGCGAGCUUGAAUGCGGUAGAGGUAAAGGGAAUGCCUGGUGUAGCGGUGAAAUGCGUAGAUAUCAGGAGGAACACCGGUGGCGUAGGCGCUUUACUGGGCCGUAAUUGACACUGAGGAACGAAAGCCGGGGUAGCAAAUGGGAUUAGAUACCCCAGUAGUC
rnacentral:rRNA from 1 species